GUACCAGCCUCAACAGCACAUAUACUAAAAUUGGAACAAUACAGAGAAGAUUAGCAUGGUUGGUCCCUGCGCAAGGAUGACACGCAAACUUGCAAAGUGUUCCUUUUUUUA